UGAAAAACAGUUUUUAAUGAUUCCAACCUAAUUCUGUUCCUGCACACAUCAUUUUUUCUUGAGGCAAUGCUAAGUUUGGUAGCCGAAGUCUACGCCCCUUCGUUGGUGAUUGGUCAACAGUACUCCUCCUAUCCAAUAGGAGUGCAUCCCUCAGACCAUCCGGUUCAUGGACAUCCUGUGACGUUGUGAUCCAGUUGUGGAGACAACUGCACAUCAAGCCUGUGGAUGAACAGCUCAGUAACUCAUCAAAUAUGAUAGAAUUUGUAGAUGCAUCAACAUUUUGACUUUAUGCCCCCUUUUCCCUGUUGUCUCACCCAUCCUGCAUUUACCAGAAAAAGAAGCUCCACACAACAAAGGGGCUAUGAAAUAAUUUAAAC
ensembl:lncRNA